rnacentral:lncRNA from 1 species
AUUUUUUUUGUUAACUCGAUCAAUAGUAGCCUCCAAAGUACAUUGAAGUGAGCUACUCUGCCAGCUACACCUGUAGAACUCAAACCAAGAGUCUGCUCAUUUUGAACCUCUUCUAAAACCUCGAUGACUGCUUCAACUGUGAGAGUAUCAGUCCCUUUAGCAACAGUUAUACUUUGUACUCCUGCUGUCUCAAUCGAAAUUGCAAAUCCCUUUUUUUAUUAAGCAUUUGCCUCAAAUACCCUUGAAACUUCUCAGCUAUUUUACCAUCAUUAUACAGUAGUUCCUCUUCUCUUUGUACAAC